rnacentral:rRNA from 1 species
CCUGACUGCUAUCGGAUUGAUACUAAGCCAUGCGAGUCAUUGUAGCAAUACAAGGCAGACGGCUCAGUAACGCGUAGUCAACCUACCCUAUGGACGGGAAUAACCUCGGGAAACUGAGUAUAAUGCCCGAUAGAACACUAUACCUGGAAUGGUUUGUGUUUCAAAUGAUUUAUUGCCGUAGGAUGGGACUGCGGCCUAUCAGUUUGUUGGUGAGGUAAUGGCCCACCAAGACUAUUACAGGUACGGGCUCUGAGAGGAGUGGCCCGGAGAUGGGUACUGAGACACGGACCCAGGCCCUAUGGGGCGCAGCAGGCGAGAAAACUUUGCAAUGUGCGAAAGCACGACAAGGUUAAUCCGAGUGGUUUCUGCUAAAGGAACCUUUUGACAGUCCUAGAAACACUGUUGAAUAAGGGGUGGGCAAGUUCUGGUGUCAGCCGCCGCGGUAAAACCAGCACCUCAAGUGGUCAGGAUGAUUAUUGGGCCUAAAGCAUCCGUAGCCGGCUCAGUAAGUUUUCGGUUAAAUCUGUACGCUCAACGUACAGGCUGCCGGGAAUACUGCAGAGCUAGGGAGUGGGAGAGGUAGACGGUACUCGGGAGGAAGUGGUAAAAUGCUUUGAUCUUUCGAUGACCACCUGUGGCGAAGGCGGUCUACCAGAACACGUCCGACGGUGAGGGAUGAAAGCUGGGGGAGCAAACCGGAUUAGAUACCCGGGUAGUCCCAGCUGUAAACUAUGCAAACUCAGUGAUGCAUUGGCUUGUGGCCAAUGCAGUGUUGCAGGGAAGCCGUUAAGUUUGCCGCCUGGGAAGUACGUACGCAAGUAUGAAACUUAAAGGAAUUGGCGGGGGAGCACCCACAAGGGGUGAAGCCUGCGGUUC